AGCAGAGUUGGGGCUGUAUGGUUCGUUACCUGCUAGUUUCAGUCCGAAGACAUUUGACGCCUGUGCGGGUUUCCUUUUCUGUUGCCAAAGGUUCUGGAAGCAGGACCUCGGAGUCGGGAAGGAAAUGCAUUUCAGGAGCCGGGAGGAGCAGGCCUCGCCGACCUGCAGGCAGAGGGCGCAAUGCCUGGCGAGGUGCCUGCCCAGAGCCUGCCUGCCCUGCAAGAAAAAGCCAUUUGGAGGCCCCAGGUGGCCAGUACUGGGACAAAGCUGUUCCCUGCCCUCAGGAAAGCCAGACCCACGCUGGGUCAGGUCCUAAACUUUCUCCAUGGGGUGGGUUUUGUUCACCUCCACAGGCAGUGGGGGCCCCUGGACCCCAGAGAACACAGGGGACGGGGGGACAGGGCAGGAGGGGCUGGUAGGGAGGCAUCGGAGUGUGGCAGGCACUGGAGCAUCAGCCACAUGCCAGUGAUGGGCCGGUAGACCUGAGCUCCAGCCUAGGUCUUCACCUCACUGAGUAAGGACCCUGCUUGCAAUCCGCACACCUGUGCGCAGGGCUGGGCAUUGCUGUUGGUAGUAAUGGCCUCUCUGUUUGCACCUCUUGUCCCACAAACCAUAGGAAGCCCUUUCUGGGGUACACAGGUGGCAAGGGUACAUCCCCAGAGGAAGUCUGGACUUCCCAAGGCUGACAAGUGGUCUGUUGACAAAUGGAUCCACUGGGUCAUCUGGUUCAUGAUUUCCCUUCCAUCAUGCUGGCAACUUGCAUGCACCCCUUCCAUCAGAAGCCAAAUGGGAUUUAAGAGCCAAGCAUCCCUUUCCCUGACUUUGCUCAUCUGCAGCUGGGUGCACUUUGUAGCCCAGCGUGAUGCCUUUCCGAGCCCUUAGCAGAGCGACCAGCUCACCUCAAUGAAACCCCCUUCCUCAAAGACCACACCCGGGGUUCCCAGCCCCUGGCUCCCCGGCAGCCCUGGCUGGAGCAGAGCCUACCUGGCAGGUAGAUGUGGAAGGAAGGAAGAAAAGCAAACCUGGGAGUGAAGGGAAGCCCAGGCUGGGCUGGGCUGGAGGAGGCGUCAUGGGGUGCAGCCAAGACCUCUCCACUUUCCUCCUCCAGCCACAUCCGCAUAUCCUAUUUCUUAAGUCACAGGGGAUCUCACCUCCAGUUCCCAGCUCGGCCCCCAUCAGGCUCAGCCUGUUCUCAAAUGUCUCGGUCACUUUUCCCGCCAAGGCUUCUCCUACCACAGUGCACCAGUGGGUGGCUCCUCAGGGGCAGUCCCCAGACAGCAUCCCCACAGCCUGGCAAGCUUUCCUGACCAGGUUCACAUGUUGGCCUGGUCAGACUGGAGGAAACCAGCUGUCCCAAGCUGAAGUCUUCUCCUUCUUUACCAUCUCUCUCUCCCUCUCCCUUCCUCCCUCUCCCUCUCUCUCUUUCUCUCUCUCUCUUUCUCUCUCUCUCUCUCUCCCCCUGCCACGGUCUGCAAAGGCCCCUGGGCACUGUCCAGGUGCCCAGGCUGAGCCCCAACCCUAAGAGCGUCACCUCUGUAAUGUGCAGAAACUAAAAAGCCUCCCAUCAUGACGAGCUACAAGUAGGUUCCACCUGCAAGAGGCGGAGCUCCACACUGCUGGGGCAUCUGCUCGUUCAUUUUGGUUUAACUGUCAGGAUGGACGGUGCCCUUGUUAUGCCAAGGCAGGGCAUAAGCACCUCUGGAACAGUGGGGUGGAGAUGCUUCAACUUCUGGAAGACCACACCCCUCGGGGAGAACAUCUGGGUAUCAGGCACAGGAGAAAAGGCAUGUCUGACUCAGCGGGAGAGCAGGGCGCCUGGGGGUGCUUAUGGGGUUUGUUCCCCCAACCUGGCCCUUGGUCUGGGCGUGAGUGCCAUGGUUGAGGAGGGGAGAAGAAGACCAGGGCUGACAGAGGGGUUGGGGAGAGACUUUCUGCUGCUGGAACGAGCAAAGUUGCUGAGCCGCCCAGAGAGAGAAGUACAGUACAGAGGGGCGGGGCUUUUUCCCACCUGCCCGUCUUGGUAAUGGGCAUCUUGUAAAAAUCAUACUUUCCAGUGGGUUAUGGCUGAUAUUUAGGAUGACUGUUAGAUUUGGUGUGUUUUGUGUCUAGCCAGCUGAUAACCUUUCCAAUUUGCUUUAAUAUGUUAACACGUUCUCUUCAAUUUUCCAGGAAUACCAGCAUGUUUAUAAGUAAUGAUGAUCAAUUUUUUGCCGUAUAACUCCUCGGGAAAACAUACUUAGGUUAUGAAGCAUUCCCUGCGGUAACCUUGAGACUUACGGCAGCAUUGUCUCAUCUGUUGGUGUUUUAAUUAUAUCAGCUGCUUAACUUUCUUAUUUUAAAAAAACAUAUUGUUAUGGAAAAUUCAAACAUACUCAAGCAUGCUAGGCCAGUGAGCCUCCAUGCCCCUCACCCAGCUGCAGUGAGCAUCAGCGUUUUGCAGGCUUGCUUCCGCACUGUCUCCGAGUUUUUUCCUGGAGUGUAUUAAGGUAAUCCGUAAUUCCACCUUGAAUACCUCAGUAUGUGUCUUUAACAGAUAAGGGUAUUUUGCCACGACUGAUACACACAUUUAACAAAAUGAUCCGUAAUUCCUUAAUAGAGUCUGAUAUUCAGUUCACUUUCAAGUUUCCUCCAAGCUGUGAUGGCCCACCUCCUUUCCAAGCGUUGCUUUCCCUACUUGUGUUUUCAGUUUCCACCUUUCUCACACUGGCUAUACGAAUAUAGGCUCUCCAGACGUUGGCUGAGGUGAUGAAAACAGUAUGUGGCUUUCGGCAGCUCUGGAUCCAAGGACGGAGAGGUGGAUCCAAACCUGACAGCAAAGAACUGAUUUCAGAUGCCCAUGGUGCAACAGUAGAGUGAUGCCCGCGAGGAGGGGUGGGCCAGAGCUGAGGGAGGUCUCCCAUCCGAGGGGCUGAGCUUGCUGCCUUGGGCAGCACAGAAAGGGCUUCCGCGCUCCAACCUGCAAACACGCCAGCUAAUUGUCCAGGACUGAGACCGUUUGAGAAAAUGAUGGUGAAAUCGAUCACAAUGUUUCUUCUGAGGAAGUGAGCCAAAGGAACUUCGUCAUAUUUAUCCAUUCACAAACUCUUCUAAGAAUAGUUUCACUCUUUCACCCAGGCUGGACUGCAGUGGUGUGAUCUCAACUUCUGCCUACCAGGUUCAAACAAUUCUUUUGCCCCAGCCUCCUGAGUAGCUGGAAUUACAGACACCCGCCACCAAGCCCAGGUAAUUUUUGUAUUUUUAGUAGAGACAGGAUUUCACCAUGUUGGCCAGGUUGGUCUCGAACUCCUGACCUCAGCUGACCUCCACCCACCUCGGCCUCCCCAGGCGUGAGCCACCACGCCAUCCCAUUCUACUCUCUUGAAUAAGGCGCUUCACUGUCUGGAGGCUGCAGGGUGGGGUGGAGAGUCUCAGGAGACUUGCUGCUGCCUUAUUCUGAUGUGCAGGAAGAAUGUGACUCCAGUACUCAGUGUCUUAUGAACCAAAUGAUCCACUUCCUAAGCCGUUUUGCAAAAGAAGCCUUCGAGUGAUCUUCACCUUGGAGAGACCCAGAACUCACACCACGCUUGCACGGCAGGCUAGGGAUCAGACUGCUCUGUCCAUAUACGGGGACAGGCAGACGUCAUGAUAUGGUUCUCGGUGCUCUUUCUGGACUGCUCAGCAAUAGGCCAGCUGGGAUUGGGGUGCCUUCAGCCCAGCAGGGACUGGGGGCUGGGGGCAUGGAUCCCAGGCCUCCUGAUGCUGGCUGCUGAACUUCCCAGCACUCCCUUAGGGAGGGGGCAUCCAGGCUCAGAUGACUCCCACCCCAGCUCCUCAUGUUCCCUGCUGAUGAGUGCACUCAGCCCAUGGAAAGGGAGAAUGGCGGGGGACAGGUCCCCUCCUGGGGCAUCCUCACUAAGAUACCAAGAGAUUGGAGCUUCCAGACCUCCCACUGCUGAUUUCAGAAUUAGCUUCCCCAGGCUGGCCAGUUUCUUAUCCCAAACCCUGCACAUUGCUGUGUGAUUUGCCACGUCCCUAAAUGGUUCAUGCCCAGUAGCUCUCUGGGGACAGCAAAUUGGUAGUCACCCACUGUGCUUUCCUCAGAGUCAUCCACAGUACCCUUGGGGAAGGCCAUUGCCCCAAGUAGAAGAGUGCAUGAGAUGUCGGGAGGCUUCCUAGAAGCAGAGGUCAGCCCCCCCGCCUGCAGCGUAUGAAUGAGAAACAGGCCCAGGGUGUCUUCUGACUUGCAGGGCAUGAGUGUGAAUUUUAUGGGUCCACUUGGCUGUGCCACAGGAUACCCAGAUAACUAGUGAAAUAUUAUUUCUGGGUGUGUCUGUGAGAAUGUUUCUGGAAAAGGCCUUGAAAUCAGGAGACUGCAUGAAACACUCAUGAGAUCAGUGUGGGCAGGCAGCAUCCAGCUCAUCGAGGGCUGAGUAGAACAGGAAGAUGAGGAGGGCACGUUUGCUCUCUCUGCUUGAUCUGGGCUGCCCAUCUUCUCCUGCCCUCAGAUGCUGGUGCUCCUGGUUUUCCAGUCUUCAGACUCACACUGGGACUCACGUGGUGGACUCCCCUGGCUCUCAGGCCUUUGGGCUUGGACUGGAAAGCACCACCGGUGGUCCUCAGCCUCCGGCUUGCAGACAGCAGAGUGUGGGACUUCUCAGCCCCCAAAAUCACAUGAGCCGACCCCAUAAGAAAUCAUUCUCCAUGUAUCUGUGUAUAUCCUGUUGGUUCUCUUUCCCUGGAGACACUGGCCAAUACACAGAUGGACAGAGUAGCACUGGCUGGGCUAGUGUCACCGUUCCCAGCUGCUGGGGUGACAGAGCAGCACUGGCUGGACUAGUGUCACUGUUCCCAGCUGCUGGGGGGACCAACUGUCCUGGUUUGUCUGAGGCUGAGCAUUUCUUGGGAUGCAGGACUUUUAGCACCAAUACCAGAACAUCCUGGGCAAACUGGGAAGAGUGGUGGCUCCACACAUUAUCAGUCAAGCCCCUCCCUGCGUCCUCCCUGCCCAGUGCAGCACUCCCCUGCCCUGUGGUCAGAGCCUGCUGGCCCAUCACUCCCUCCGGCCUUGCUACCGUCUCCGCCUCCUCCAGCUUAGCAGGAAAAAGCAUACACAGUCGGUGCUUAAUGGUUGUGCUCUGUGCUGCACUGAGGUGGGCUGUAGGCAGGGCCAGCAGAUGAUAAUUGGGAGGGCAGCCCAGUCCCAGGUUCAUUAGCCAGGGAGGCUAAGGCCAAGGAUGGCCCCAGGCAUGGCUCAGCCUCGGCGGUGGGGAAGGGCAUGGGCGGUGUUUGAUGCCCACACCUCCAUCUGUCCCAGCAGUCCCUUUACAUCCCAUCAUUUAAAACGAGCAAACGCCAAUUAAUAAAAUAAUCCCCCGAAACCAUUUUCCUCCCGGAUUGUGAGCCUACAUCAGAGGUAAGCCUGCAGGGAAGUGUUACACAGGCUCAUCAAGACCUUAAGUGAGGCUGUGGGGCCCACCCUCAUGCCAGGGGCCCCCAAGACAGACGCUCCUGGAUGAAAUGAAGUGUAAGCCAGGGCCUGCAAGGGAGCCACAGGCUGGGGUGGCCUUGCCUGGACAACGGCCUGUUAUUCUCCGUUUACCGCAUUUCUCUCCCGGUAAACAACAUACAACUGAGGACCCACUUCUCAUGCACAAAUGAGCAGUCCCGAACCCGAAACUUCAGUCAGUGGCUGGCCCUCCCUCUCAGGCCACCUGUCACCUGCUGGCCCAGUUGCUGCAGGGUCCAUGCCUCCCUCUGUGCCUGUACCUGCUGGAAGAGGCCGCCGCAUGUUACUCCCUGUCAAGAAAGAAUUAAAGAAGCAUCUUGGGUAGGAAGCAAUUGUGGAGGGUGGAAGUUUCUGGCCAGGCAAAUAAAUUGGAUUUAAGUAUAUUACAGUCAUAAUCUUUUUCUGCCCCUCUCCAGACGGUCUCUGUACAUGGAAAAAUGAGAAUGUAUUCGCAGACAAAGCUUGACCUGAGGGAGACGCCUGCCGGAAUCUGGAUUUUCAAUAACAUAAGACAAUAAAGCUUAGACUUCUAACCUGCCGCAAUAUGGGAAAAGUAUAAAGAGCUUAGCUGCUAAUAAAAGGGAAGGGUCUUCCCCUCAUAUUUGAAGAUCCGGACCCCCCAGAAGGACACUUCAUGAAGAUCACAGUGGGUUAGCUGGGAUCAUGCAGACACGAGGCCCCUUGUUGACCGAUUGUCUGACAGUUGUCACGUAUGGGUCUGAUAUUAAUAAGGCCCGCAUUGAUUUCCUUGGGGUAUUUUUGUCCCUGUGAGUGCACAGCCUCCUGUUGUGGCUCUAGCCUCGGUGGCGCUGAGCUACAGUUGCCCUCAGCAGGAUGCACAGGUGGGGCUGCCCUCCCCGGGGUGUGCACACCUUGCCAGUGGCACCUCCCUCAGUGGGCGGCUGGAGGGGAAGAGGGGACAUGCUAAGGACAGGGGACAGAGUCAGGGCCACUCCCUUGGAGACCGGGUACCCUGGUCCACCCACAGCAGGCAGGGCUUGUGAACGAUGGGCUUGGGAGUGAGCCUUCUCUUGUUUUGCUUGCUCAUCCAGUACUUCCUCUAGGAUGCAAGUGGGCUGCCGGCAGUGUUACUGGGGUAAGUAACUGGGUGAAGUCAGCCGGAGGAAAGCGGCAGUGCUUAGUUAAAAGUGUUCUUUGACAUGUAACAUACGGCGGAAGCGGCCGCCCGGCCUUGGUGAAUUUCAAUGCUAAGAAGCCUUGUUGCUCACCCAUCUCCUCCCACAGGGCAGAGGGCAUUGCCCUGUCCCCUUGGUCCCCACCCAGACUUUCUCCAAGGGCACUCUUCAGUGUCAUCUGCACUUUAAAAUGACAUUGAGGCCAAGCUUUCCGAAAUAGUCGAAUUCUGCUUGUACCAGGUGCAUCCCUGCAUCUGCACCUCAGACGAGCCAGCCUCAUCCACAGUGCACACUGUCACCUGCUGGCCCAGUUGCUGCGGGGUCCACGCCUCCCUCUGUGCCUGUACCUGCUGGUACAGUCAGGCAUGCAGCCCACCUAGUUGCGGCCCCUGGUGAGAAGGGCGAGCAAAAAGUGCGGGACGCUGGGUGCUCCAGGACAGGCCCAUACUCUGCACACCUGCUGGGCACCAUUGUUCUCUAGGAACUUGCGCCCAGCACCCAGGGUCCUCUGGAGAGAAAGGAGCACAGGACAGUGUGCACCUAGGUGGGCUGCAUGCCUGACUCGCUGCUGUGUCCAUAUUUUGGGAACCUAGGACACUUUCUACAGUGAGUCAGAACAAUCUCCAAGCCAUGUGGGCUUCCCUCUUUGUCAAAUACUAUUGAAACGCAGGACGCUUAUAGGAACCAGGUGGCAGCUGGCGAGAUGGGGGCCGCUUCUCUCAGGGUGGAGGCUCCAGGCAGAGCUUGGAGAAAUGGCCCAGCCCAGGGUGUUCUGGGGACCUGCAGAGGGAGCUGCCUGCUUCUGGGUCAAACAAUCAGGGCUGCCAGGAGCUGGGGCUGAGCCUUGAGAUAGGGACUGAAGAACCAUCUCCUCCCCUCCAGCCAGCAUGGCAGCUGCCUGGACAGUUGAUUACCAUCGUCCUAUGACAGCAGGGCCUGAGGUCUGUGGAUGGUGUCCAUGACCUAUCGGGCCUGGAAGACCAGAGCUCAAGACCCCAGAUGGGCUCCUCGUCAGACAGGCCUGGCAUGGGAAGUGGGCACCCAGCUGUGUCACUCCCUAGUUCUGUGAGUGGAUCUUCCUGAGCCUCAGUUUCCCCAUCAGAAUACAGGAGAAACAUGGAGUUUCUAUGAACUGAAUUGGGUCCCCCUAAAAUUCCUAUGUUGAAGCCUUAACUCCCAGUGUGACCCUAUUUGGAGAAAGAGCCUACAAGGAGGUAAUAAGGGUUAGAUGAGGUCCUAACGAUGGGGCCCAGAUAUGAUCGAAUUUGUGUCCUUAUAAGAAGAGAAACCAGAGAGCUCACUGUCCCUCUCUCUCCACAGGUGAAGAUACAGCAAGAAGACAGGCAUUGGCAAGCCAGGAAAGGAGGGCUUACCAGAACCCAGCCAUGCUGGCAGCAUGAUCUCAGACCUCCAGCCUCCAGAAUGGAGAGAAAUAUGCCUGGUUGGAUAGAAGAAGAGGAGGCAAAGACACAGACGAAACACACCAAAGGAUGGCCAUAGGAUGACACGGGGAGAAGGCAAGCAUCAGCAAGCCAAGAAGAGGGACCUCAGAGGAAACCAUAUCUGCUGAUACCUUGAUCUUGGACUUCCAGCCUCCUGGAUGGUGAGAAAAGAAAUUUCUGUUGGUUAAACCACCCAGCCUGAGCUGCCUAAUACAGGUUGAUUUGUUUACAGCUGCCUCUGCCCUCUGCCUAGAGAGAGUUGCUCUUUUAUUCCUCAACCUCCUCUGAAGGUUUUUCCGUCUGUCACUAAGUCACCUGCUCACAGGCUUCCCAGCUUUGUGACAGGUGAACAAAACACUCACACGUUAGAAAAAAUAUGGGCAUGGCCUUAACUCCUACUGGACCUAAACCUCUUGCAAAUAAAAACUACAAACUCUAGACCAAAAAGGAAAAACGAAAAACAAGCUCUACUCAGUUCUCUGCUUAACUUUUGAACUACACAUGCUUUUAGGCAGACUCAAUGCAUUUUAGCUAAGGAUAAAAUAUCUGAACUGUGAUUUGAGCUGAUACGAAAGAGACAAAUUUGCCGUUUAAGUUUAACUGAGAAAAAAAUGAACAUUCUCUGGAAGAUUAGAACAGAGUUUAGAACCUCCACAACAUAAUGUUCCUAAUAUUCAGGAUACAAUCUAAAAUUGCUUGACAUAUGAAGAACCAGGAAAAUGCGACCCAGUUUAAACCAAAAAGUCAAUCAACUGAGAACAAUUCUGAGAUGAUCAAGAUGUUGAAAUUAAAAGACAAGGAUUUUCCCAGCACUUUGGGAGGCCGAGGUGGGCAGAUCACGAGGUCAGGACAUUGAGACCAUCCUGGCUAACACGGUGAAACCCCGUCUCUACUAAAAAUACAAAAAAUUAGCUGGGCAUGGUGGCAGGUGCCUGCAGUCCCAGCUACUCAGGAGGCUGAGGCAGGAGAAUGGCGUGAACCCGGGAGGCGGAGCUUGCAGUGAGCGGAGAUCACGCCACUGCCCUCCAGCCUGGGUGACAGAGCGAGACUCCGUCUCAAAAAAAAAAAAAAAAAAAAGACAAGGAUUUUAAGAAAGAUAUUACAACGAUACUCAAUGAAGUAAAGGGAAAUAUGCUUGCAGGAAAGAAAAGAUAAGAAAUCUCAGCUAAGAAAUAGAAACUGAAAAUACGGACCAAGUGGAAAUUCUGGAACUGAAAAAAAGACAAUAUCUGAAAUUAAAGAUUCACUGGAUUGUCUUAAUAACAGAACAGAGAUGAGAAAUGAAGAUCAGUGUACUUGAAUACAGAUAAAAUCUAUUCUGAAGAGGAGAGAGAAAAAUGAUUUAAAAAUAAUGAACAGAGCCGUGGGAACCUAGGGGGUAAUAUCAAAGGGUGUAACAUAGAUAUAAUUUGAGUCCUAUGAGUAAAGGAAACAGGAUGGCGCAGACAAAACAUUCAAAGGUGUAGUGGCCAAAACAUUUCCUAAAUUUGUUGUUGUACCACACAAAUGUGAGAUUGUAAAAGUUCAGUGAACUCCGAAUUGGAUGAUUUAGUCCUUUUCUUGUUUAGAAAAAAAUGUGCAGCUUGCUGCCAGCAGUCAAUUAGUUUUACAUAAACAUGCUCUUUGAGGCUGAAGCAAAUCUGACUAAAUUUCAAUGUGAAAAUAAAAUAUAAAACUAUUCUUGGGGUUUGAUUUUUUUUUUUUUUUGAGAUUGGUCACUGAGGCUGGAGUACAAUGGCAUGAUCUUGGCUCACUGCAACCUCCAUCUCCCAGGUUCAAGUGAUUCUCCUGCCUCAGCCUCUGGAGUAGUUGGGAUUACAGGC